CCUACGGGUGGCAGCAGUAGGGAAUAUUGCUCAAUGGGGGAAACCCUGAAGCAGCAACGCCGCGUGGAGGAUGAAGGUUUUCGGAUUGUAAACUCCUUUUGUUAGAGAAGAUAAUGACGGUAUCUAACGAAUAAGCACCGGCUAACUCCGUGCCAGCAGCCGCGGUAAUACGGAGGGUGCAAGCGUUACUCGGAAUCACUGGGCGUAAAGAGCGCGUAGACGGGAUAGCAAGUCAGAUGUGAAAUCCCAUGGCUUAACCAUAGAACUGCAUUUGAAACUGUUAUGCUAGAGUAUGGGAGGGGUAGGUGGAAUUCUUGGUGUAGGGGUAAAAUGCGUAGAGAUCAAGAGGAAUACUCAUGGCGAAGGCGACCUGCUAGAACAUAACUGACGUUGAGGCGCGAAAGCGUGGGGAGCAAACAGGAUUAGAUACCCGUGUAGUC
rnacentral:rRNA from 1 species